UACGUAGGUGACAAGCGUUGUCCGGAUUUACUGGGCGUAAAGAGCGCGCAGGCGGUCGUUCAAGUCGGGUGUGAAAGCCCCCGGCUCAACUGGGGAGGGUCACUCGAUACUGAUCGACUCGAAGGCAGGAGAGGGAAGUGGAAUUCCCGGUGUAGUGGUGAAAUGCGUAGAUAUCGGGAGGAACACCAGUGGCGAAGGCGACUUCCUGGCCUGUUCUUGACGCUGAGGCGCGAAAGCUAGGGUAGCAAACGGG
rnacentral:rRNA from 1 species